rnacentral:rRNA from 1 species
UACAGAGGGUGCAAGCGUUGUUCGGAAUUAUUGGGCGUAAAGCGCGUGUAGGCGGCCUUGCAAGUCGGGUGUGAAAGCCCUCAGCUCAACCGAGGAAGUGCAUCCGAAACUGGCGAGCUAGAGUACUAAAGAGGAUCGCGGAAUUCCCGGUGUAGAGGUGAAAUUCGUAGAUAUCGGGAGGAACACCGGUGGCGAAGGCGGCGAUCUGGGUAGAUACUGACGCUGAGGUGCGAAAGCGUGGGGAGCGAUCCGG